rnacentral:lncRNA from 1 species
GGCGGAGUUAAGGUUAGGAAGGGCGGCGCUAGACCCACCCUCCAGGUUCCAGGAGCCGGGGAAGGGACCCCGGAGGGGCAGUGAGGCCCAGAGUGCGGGUCGCUGUCUGCAGCAAAGUGAACGUUCUCAAGAAUGGAGUCCAGGCUCCAAGAAGCUGGCGGCAGCCAGUGUGGAGCUGGGAAGCACUUGGGCAAGCGCAGAGACAUGCCCGGGGGCACUCCUACGGAGUGUUCCAGGGCAGGGAGGCCAUUAGGACAUCCUCCUUAUCCCAGGAGAAUUGUCCAAAUGUCCACAGCUUUCAAAACUGUACAUCAAAAAAUAACGCACAUGUCAGGUGGGAGAGCGGCAAAGCGAACGGGGGGAGGGUGUGGGCGCUCACUCCCCCAGGCCUUCGACUUUCCUACACGCACGUCAGGGUUCCCACAGCACACGCCCAUGCGGACGGCCACGGCUUUAAAGCGGAAACAGAAGGCGACAGGAGCUGGUGCGGACGCGGAGGACGUGGAGCCCCGCGCACGGCUGCUGGAGGGUCGAGGGGCCCAGCCGCCGUGGAGACAGCAUGGCGGUACCUCAAAACAUCAAAAAUAGAGCCAGCCUGUGACCCAGAAAUCCCACUUCUGGGUAUUCAUCCAAAAGAAGUGAAAGCAGGAUCUCAAAGACGCAUCUGCACAGCCCUGCUCUCAGCAGCGUCAUUCACGGCGGCCAGGAUGUGGAGGCGGCCCGUGGGCGCCCGUGGAAGAAGGGAGAAGCCAGCUGUGGUCCGUCCGCAGGAGGAAAUGUCAGUCUCGACGAGGAAGAAGUCCCGGCACCUGCUGCCACGCGAAGUGAGAUGCGCCGGCCACCGAAGGCCACGCGGUGUGGUCCACUCACAGGAGGCUGCCAGAGGAGCGAGGGCCUGGGCGAGUGGACAGCGGGGGGCGGCCUGGGGACAGGGCUCAGCGGGCAGGUGGCAGAGUCUGCACUUGGACUGUGGGGACGGCCGCCUGACUGCACGAAGGUGCCGAGUUUCACCGAACUGUUCACUUGAAAC